UCUUAAAUUUCUUUUCGACCCAGUAAUUAAAGUUCAAAAUUGUUAAUAAGCUAAAUUUCUGGAAAUGAUAUUAUGUGUAAGUUCUACACUCAGUCUGUUUUACUUCAUGGAAUGUCGCAUAACACUUGUUACUUACAUCAUCUGAUUUUGAAUGUAAUUACGAAUACUGGCCGCAAAUAAUACACGUUAUUCCAAUAAUGGAUUCUUAUUUAUAAACCGUAAUUGCACUUAAAUCUGGCAGUGUAUUUAAAGUAUAUACAGGGUCCUAAAUGUAUUCGUUCAUGAAUUGUAAUGUACUUGUUAUUAUUUCACUUUUAUCUGCCGGACAUAAUUACAGGCUAACUUAUAUAAACUUGGCGAUUAUUUGGCCGGUAUCUGUUUUACUCCCAAUGU